GACGAACGCUGGCGGCGUGCCUGAUACAUGCAAGUAGAACGCUGAAGGAAGGAGCUUGCUCUUUCUGGAUGAGUUGCGAACGGGUGGGUAACGCGUAGGUAACCUGCCUGGUAGCGGGGGAUAACUAUUGGAAACGAUAGCUAAUACCGCAUAAAAUUGAUUAUUGCAUGAUAGUCAAUUAAAAGGUGCAACUGCACCACUACCAGAUGGACCUGCGUUGUAUUAGCUAGUUGGUGGGGUAACGGCUCACCAAGGCGACGAUACAUAGCCGACCUGAGAGGGUGAUCGGCCACACUGGGACUGAGACACGGCCCAGACUCCUACGGGAGGCAGCAGUAGGGAAUCUUCGGCAAUGGACGGAAGUCUGACCGAGCAACGCCGCGUGAGUGAAGAAGGUUUUCGGAUCGUAAAGCUCUGUUGUAAGAGAAGAACGAGUGUGAGAGUGGAAAGUUCACACUGUGACGGUAUCUUACCAGAAAGGGACGGCUAACUACGUG
rnacentral:rRNA from 1 species